rnacentral:rRNA from 1 species
CAGACAACUAGGAGGUUGGCUCAGAAGCAGCCAUCCUUUAAAGAGUGCGUAACAGCUCACUAGUCGAAUGACUCUGCGCCGAUAAUUUACCGGGGCUAAGCAUACUACCGAAGCUAUGGAUCCCAAGGGAUGGUAGGGGAGCGUUCCAUGAACGGAGAAGUACGACCGAAAGGACGUGUGGAGAUCAUGGAAGAGAGAAUGCCGGUGUGAGUAGCGGAACGUGGGUGAGAAUCCCACGCACCGAAAACCCAAGGUUUCCAGAGGAAGGUUCGUCCGCUCUGGGUAAGUCGGGACCUAAGGCGAGGCCGAAAGGCGUAGUCGAUGGACAACAGGUAGAGAUUCCUGUACCCGUAUAUAUGUGAAGGAAUGACGGAGAGAGGAAGCUGCAGCCAGCGGCUGGAAGAGCUGGUGCAAGCGAGAUAUCGGGAUGGCAGGCAAAUCCACCAUCCGAAACGAGAAGGCGUGAAGCGUACGGAAAGCUACGGCGAGUACGGAAGGCAGUGGAGGAACUUCCAAGAAAAGUUUCUAACGUAAAGUAUAUAUGGCCCGUACCGAAAAUGGACACACAUGGGUGAGGAGAGAAUCCUAAGGUGAGCGAGAGAACUAUAGCUAAGGAACUCUGCAAAAUGACUCCGUAACUUAGGGAGAAGGAGUGCUCAUAGAGAUAUGAGCCGCAGUGAAACGGCCCAAGCGACUGUUUACCAAAAACACAGCUCUCUGCUAAGCCGCAAGGCGAAGUAUAGGGGGUGACGCCUGCCCGGUGCUGGAAGGUUAAGGGGAGGGGUUAACGCAAGUGAAGCCCUGAACUGAAGCCCCAGUAAACGGCGGCCGUAACUAUAACGGUCCUAAGGUAGCGAAAUUCCUUGUCAGGUAAGUUCUGACCCGCACGAAAGGCGUAACGAUUUGGGCGCUGUCUCAGCUGUAGACUCGGUGAAGUCUUAGUACCUGUGAAGAUGCAGGUUACCCGCGACUAGACGGAAAGACCCCAUGGAGCUUCACUGCAGGUUGAUAUUGGGAUUUGAUGCAGCAUGUACAGGAUAGGUAGGAGGCAAAGAGAUGGAUACGCCAGUAUUCAAGGAGCCGCUGUUGGGAUACUACCCCUGUUGUAUUGGAUUUCUAACCGGACGACGUAGAGCCGUUGACGGGACAGUGUCAGUCGGGCAGUUUGACUGGGGCGGUCGCCUCCCAAAGAGUAACGGAGGCGCCCAAAGAUACCCUCAGCUUGGAUGGAAACCAAGCGCAGAGUGCAAAGGCAAAAGGGUGUUUGACUGCGAGACCCACAAGUCGAGCAGGGACGAAAGUCGGGCUUAGUGAUCCGGCGGUGCUGAAUGGAAAGGCCGUCGCUCAACGGAUAAAAGCUACCCUGGGGAUAACAGGCUGAUCUCCCCCAAGAGUUCACAUCGACGGGGAGGUUUGGCACCUCGAUGUCGGCUCAUCGCAUCCUGGAGCUGAAGUCGGUUCCAAGGGUUGGGCUGUUCGCCCAUUAAAGCGGUACGCGAGCUGGGUUCAGAACGUCGUGAGACAGUUCGGUCCCUAUCUGUCGUGGGCGCAGGAAAUUUGAGAAGAGCUGUCCUCAGUACGAGAGGACCGGGAUGGACGCAUCAAUGGUGGACCAGUUGUCACGCCAGUGGCAUAGCUGGGUAGCUAAAUGCGGAAGGGAUAAACGCUGAAGGCAUCUAAGUGUGAAACCCACUUCAAGAUGAGAUUUCCCAUUGCGCAAGCAAGUAAGACCCCUUAAAGACGAUAAGGUAGAUAGGUCAGGAGUGUAAGCAUGGUGACAUGUUAAGCGGACUGAUACUAAUAGGUCGAGGGCUUGACCG